GCCAGGGCGUAGUCAAAGGCUCCUGGACUUCCUGUCUGAGACUAUUGGAUCAUUCAGCAUUCACUCACAUCACCAAAUAACAAUGCAAUGCAACAUAUUCGUGAAUACUAAUGCAAUCAACCUAUGGCAUAAACAUGAUGCAUGAGAUAUGCUAAAAGCAGUUUGUGGUUCAAUUAAAAGGCAUAAGUUUAGUUCCACUCACCUCUGGCUAUCUGGACUGACUGACUCUGCAG
rnacentral:lncRNA from 1 species